rnacentral:lncRNA from 1 species
UAUAGUUGUUGCAGCACUGGAUGUCACCUUUGUUCUUGUACAAAGGCACAACUGUACUCCACCUCCACUCCUCCGGCAUCUUUUUGUUCCUGAAGAUCGCAUUGAACAACCGGGAGAGCCACUCCACUCCUGACCUUCCCAUGCAUUUCCAGAACUCUACCAGGAUCUCGUCAGGCCCGAUCGCUCGACCCCUACUCAUCCUACGCAAAGCCC